GUCCAAGUAAUUUAAUAAAAAUACUAGCCUUGUAAGCUAGAAAUGAAGGAAACCACCUUCCUAGGACA
rnacentral:tRNA from 1 species